rnacentral:lncRNA from 1 species
GAGGUUCUCGUGGAAGUUUGCUUUGCGUUUGCGCAGAAUGCAUGCAAAAAGUGUUACUAUAUCUUCAACUCUUGCAUACUCACUCUUCCUAUUCACAUCUUCAUUUCUUGCAUAUUCAUCCUAGUUGCUAUUCAUACCUUCCAAAUUACAAAUCCAAGUCUUGAUGGGUUCUACUGUUAAUGAAGAAGAUAGUAACAAACCUCUUCAUAUUGUAAUGCUCCCAUGGCUAGCUAUGGGACAUAUAUACCCUUACUUUGAAGUAGCCAAAAUUCUAGCUUCAAAGGGUCACACUGUCACCUUCAUCAACUCCCCUAAAAACAUUGACCAAAUGCCAAAAACACCCAAAACCAUUGAACCAUUCAUCAAAUUGGUAAGAUUGCCUUUACCACACAUAGAGCAACUCCCACCAGGUGCAGAAAACACUAUGGACAUUCCAAUAAACAUGAACAAAUACCUUGAACUAGCCUAUCAAGGUCUUCAAGAUGAUGUUACUGAGAUUCUCAAAACAUCAAAACCUGAUUGGGUUUUCUAUGAUUAUGGUACUGUUUGGUUAGCACCAAUAGCUAAAAGCCUAAACAUAGCUUCUGUUCAUUACAGCAUAACACCAGCUUGGAACAUAUGUUUUUUUGAUCGACCUAAGGAUCAAAUCAAAACAAAUUUCGAAAUUCAAGACAUAUGUGGCCCACAUAAAUGGCUUCCUUUUCAAACAACUAUUCAUCUCAAACCUUAUGAGCUUAUUAGAGCUUUCACAGCUCUUAGAGAUGAAUCAGGUAACAUGCCUGAUUCUGGUCUCAACAAUGCUUAUUCAAGUUGUGAUCUUUUACUUCUCAGAACCUCGAGAGAGCUUGAAGGUGAAUGGUUGGAUUAUAUCUCUGAACAGUACAAUGUUCCUGUUGUUCCUGUUGGGUUGAUUCCACCUUCUAUGCAGAUAAGAGAUGAUGAAGAGGAAGAGAACAAUCCUGAUUGGGUGAAAAUCAAAGGGUGGUUGGAUUCAAGAGAAUCAUCUUCUGUUGUUUACAUUGGAUUUGGGAGUGAGUUGAAGUUGAGUCAGGAAGAUUUAACUGAGUUGGCUUAUGGAAUUGAGCUUUCUGGGUUGUCUUUCUUUUGGACUUUGAAGAAUCUGAAAGAGGGUACACUUGAAUUACCUGAAGGAUUCGAGGAAAGGACGAAAGAACGCGGAAUUGUUUGGAAGACAUGGGCACCUCAGCUUAAGAUCUUAGCUCAUGGAGCAAUUGGUGGAUGUAUGAGUCAUUGUGGUUCUGGUUCUGUUAUUGAAAAGGUUCAUUUUGGCCAUGUUCUUGUGACACUGCCUUAUUUGCUUGACCAGUGUUUGUUUUCAAGGGCAUUGGUGGAAAAGGAAGUGGCUGUUGAAGUACCAAGGAGUGAGGAAGAUGGGUCUUUUACUAGGGACUCUGUGGCUCACUCAUUGAGGUUGGCAAUUGUGGAUGAGGAAGGAAGUAGUUUCAGGAACAAUGCUAAAGAGUUGGGGAAGGUUUUCAGUUCAAAAGAUAUUCACAAUCAAUAUAUUGAUGACUUUAUUGCUGCUCUUUACAAGUAUAGGGUUCCUUCCAAUUCCAACAACUAAGUAGACUAGUAAUUUUGUAUCAUGUGUUUCCCUUCUUCUCAUAAUCAAUAUAUUUAUUGUGAUUUUUGUUUUGCAAUAAAAGGUUUUAUUUUAGUUUCCUUCUUCUCAGUUUUGUAACAAAAAUGUUAAUUGGCCAUCCUUCUAUAUCUGAUUUGUGAUAUGGCACUUUUUUUUACAAAAAAUUGUAUCUCUAGACUAAUCAUUCUCUUAAUUUCAUAUUGGUGAAAAUUGCUUCAAAGGACUGUAGUUGAUUAUCAAGUAUCAACUUCUGCAUUUGCAUAUCACAAACUUGGCAGCAGAAGUAGACUAGAAUUCAAUUAUGUGGUAUGAAAGUUUUACAUAAAUAAAGAUCAUAAAUGGUAUGCAUGUUUGAACAAAAUAACCAGAUCAUAAACCAAUUUUUUUUUUUUGUCAUUUUGUACACUUGUGACAUUGUGGUUGGCCAAUGUCGUCAGAUGACAUUGACACCCCAAUGUCACCCAAAUGUUUUCCGAAAAUGUGUUGGUGGGUAGAAGAAAUUCUAAUCUCUACCUAUGCUAUUUUGUAUUUAAUUCUUGGAUUCAUGAAUGUAAAAAAAAAAAUAUUACUAAGGAAGAAAAUUUACCUCUUAGUUAGAUGGCAAAAGAUGCUCUUAAUAUUCAACUGAAGUGCAAAUAAGAAAUUCAAGAACAGAUAUAAAUAAAUAAUAUAAAUCAAAACAAGGCACUUUGAAAACGACAACAAAAAAUUUGCUAAACUUUAAAAUUAAAAAAUUCUUAAUUGGCUCCCUCAAAAAAAAAAAAAAAAUUCUUAAUUGGCUCUCUAAACUUUUAAACAAAUUGUAAAUGGUCCCUACCUACAACAUAAUUAGCCCGAAGUUAAACAAGUACAUUGUUCACAAGUCAUAAUUCAACCGUUAAGAAUGUUGAAUUUUUUAGGUCAAACCUCAUGGUUUGAAUCCUGAUUUCUUUACUUAUAUGUGUGUCUAAUAAUUUUCAUUUCGUUUAUGAAAAAUAAAUAUAACCAAGCUAACAUUUAUUAUUAUUUAUUAUUUUGUCUUUCAUUUAUAUUCUUGCAUAAAUUUUGAUGAAGAGUUUUGACACUCAUCUCGGUUCUACCCAAUUAUUAUUAUUAUUGGUGCGUGUAGAUGAUAUCCGAUUCAGACCGCAGACUUGCCUAACCCCUAAAUAAACAAACAAAUGUGUGUCUCCUUGACUUACUCGUGCACAAUUUAGCGGAAUAAAUUAGUAGAUGCGCGUUUCGCAUGCCACUACCAUCCAUUUCUAUUUCUUCCCUAUAAUAAUAUGCCAUCAUCCUUCAAAAAAAGAAUAUGCCAUCUUUUUCAUGUAUUGCAGCAACAACAUUCAUUCAUUCAUGGAUAACAAGAAAAACAAACCUCUUCAUGUUGUCAUGUUUCCAUGGAUAGCCAUGGGACACAUGUACCCAUGUUUUGAGGUUUCCAAGAUUCUUUCACAAAAUGGUCACUUUGUCACACUCAUAUCUACUCCUUCAAUCAUAGAUCGUCUUCCUAAACUCUCACAAACCCUUUCACCAUUUUUUAAUCUCAUCAAACUUCCCUUAUCAUCUUACAUUGACAAAAACCAUCUUCCAACAAAUGCAGAUUCAACCAUGGACAUUCCCUCCAACAAACUCUAUUACCUUAAACUAGCCUAUGAUUCUCUUCAAGAAUCUGUAGCUGAGAUACUCAAAACUUCAAAUCCUGAUUGGGUUUUCUAUGAUUUUGCAGCUAGUUGGUUACCACAGUUAGCAAAAGGUUUGAAUUUGAACAUAUCAUGUUGUUAUUUCAGUCCUUGUCCUGCAUGGAGCAUAUGUUUCUUUGAUACACCAAAAAAACAACUUGGUGAUGAUUCUGCAGCUAUUAGAACAAAUGCAGAAGAUUACUAUGGUCCACCUAAAUGGAUUUCUUUUCCUACAAAGAUUGGUUUAAGGCCUUAUGAGGUAAGAAAAUUGCUUGAAGAUAUCAAAGUUAAUGAAACAGGGGCUUCCCCUGUUUUUGAUCUAAACAGAGCAAAUUCAGAUUGUGACAUGUUUGUUAUUAGAAGCUCAAGAGAUCUUGAAGGAGAAUGGUUAGAUUUUCUUGGUGAGUUUUACAACAAGCCUGUGAUUCCUGUUGGAUUGCUUCCACCAAGAAGAGAUUCUUCUGAUGAGGUAGAAGAUAGUCCUGAUUGGAUUCAAAUCAAAGCAUGGUUAGACACACAAAAGAGUUCAUCUGUUGUUUAUAUUGCAUUUGGGAGUGAGGUGAAAUUGAGCCAAGAAAAUCUCAAUGAAUUAGCUCUUGGGAUUGAGAAUUCUAAAUUACCUUUCUUUUGGGUUUUGAGAGAUUUGAAAAAUGGUUUUGUUGAGUUACCAAAUGGGUUUGAGGAUAGGACAAAAGAUCAUGGUAUAGUGUGGAAAAGUUGGGCCCCACAACCUAAGAUCUUAGGUCAUGGUUCAGUUGGUGGUUGUUUGACUCAUUGUGGUUCAGGUUCAAUGAUAGAAAAUCUUUAUUUUGGACAUGUUCUUGUUAUGUUGCCUUUUUUAUUGGAUCAAGCUUUGUAUUCAAGAGUAAUGCAAGAGAAGAAAGUUGGAAUUGAGAUAGUGAGGAAUGAAGAAGAUGGAUCAUUUACAAGGAAUUCAGUUGCUAAGGCAUUGAGAUUUACCAUGGUUGAUGAAGAGGGAAGUGAUUAUAGGAAGAAUGCUAAAGAGAUAGGGAAGAAAUUUAGUAACAAGGAGCUUCAUAAUCAAUACAUUGAAAACUUCAUUUCUUCACUUCAAAAUCACAAUUCAUAGGAAUGUUUAGAAGUAAUUAAGUAAACAUUCAUUUGAAUUGAAAUAAAAACCUUUGAUUCAACUUGUGGAGAUAGGACAAAAAGGUUGUUAUUUGUUUGUGUGUAGGGCAUAUCUGUUCACUUGCCUCACCUUAAUUCUUUCAGGUCAUUGCCAUUAAUUUCUACAUUUGACCAAUUUGUAAGCAUCAGCCCUUUAGAAAUUCAAUAUACAUAAAUUGGUGGGGUGAAUCAAAUCUAAAAUUUUAGUGUGAUACAAAUUUGUAUUCCUUCCAAUCACAUUUAUAAUCAAAAAACAUUUUCUUAGGUUUAUUGAAUGAAUAGUCAAUGUAUCUGGUCUAUAAAUAUGAUCAGAUACAUAAAUUAUUCAAUGAAUCUAAAAUAUUAUUUUUUAGUUAUAAAUGUGACGGAGGGAGUAAUUUCUUCAUAUAAUAUUCUUGUUGAAUGUGAAACUUAGUCGAUGAUUCGGUUAAUAGUCUUAUUAACGAUUCACUUUUUCUUAAAAUGAUUAAGCCGGUAUAAAUGAAUUUCGUCUCUAUGCUAUGAGAUUUUAACUACUUCAAAGAGUAUUAGUUCUUCAAACGAUUAGGUCAAUAGAAAAGAACUGCGUCAAUGCUACGAGUCCUUUAACUACUUCAAAGAGUAUUAAAUGGGGUAAAUAAUUUUAAGAACUAAAAUGCGAAGAAAAAUAUAAGUAAAAUGUUAGAGGCAUAUAAACAUAAAAUAAGUUGUUUGAUUGAUUGAGUGUGUCGAUGGUAAAAUUUACAAGUGAUAGUUACAAACCAAGAUACUAGAGUCUAUAUGCUAUGAGAUUUUUUUUUUGUGCUAAAAAAAAAAAUUUACAAACCAAGAUACUAGAGUCUAUGUCCUAUCAUCCAUGAUCUUGACCAACUAAAAUAGUGCCCUCAUUUCUCUCAAAAAAAAAAAAAAUAGUGCCCUCAUCGUUACUCGACUAUAUAAACUAUAGUCACAUGAUCGUGUGCAUGCUUCCUAAAAAAAUUGUUGUGGGGAUUAUCCCUUAUUUUCUUAAAUAAAUAAAUUUAAUGACAAGAAGUGGACGAUAUUAAGUCCUCUAAAAAAAUGGACGUUAAGGAUGAAUUAUUGGCAUGCUCUGAGUUAGAACCCUUCUUAUUGCAGCAAUGACUAGAAUGACUCUUUUCAGAGUCAAGUUAAAAUCAAUUUUAACACCUUCAAAACAAUUAUACAUAAGUAAAAAAAUCAAUUUUGACACCUUCAAAAUUGAAACAUACUUGAAGAAUAAGUUUGUGUCUAAAAAACAAUUUUAGAAUCAAGAGAUCUAGAUUCUUGCUUCAAGUUAAAAUUAAUUCUCCAAUUCUAAAUACAAAAUCAAUUUUUCAAAAAGAGUAACCAACAACAACAUCAACAAUCAAGUCUUUUUUCAUUAAGUGGGGUCGGCUACUUCAAAAGAGUAAUCAAAUAUAUCAAAAUCUAUUACUCCCUCCGUCCCUAAUUAUAAGAUCCUUUGGAGAAUUUUUUUUGUCCCUUUUUAUAAGACCCCUUUGUUAUUUCCAACUACAUUAAUUAUUUCUUUACAUACAUGCCCCUAUUUAUUAUACAUCUUUUUCUUCAAUCAGCAAUAAGUAGCAUAUGGAAAACAUAAACUAACUCUCUCUCUUAAGGAUAAAAUUGUAAAAACAAUAGUGAUUACAAACAACUUUAAUACAAAUAUCCGCUUUCUUAAUUCCCGUAAUUUUAGCAAAAGAGUCUUAUAAUUAGGGACGGAGGGAGUAUAAAAUUUAUCCCUAAUAAUCAAACCAAACAUAGUUGAAUAUACUCCAUCCGUUUCAAAAUGAGUGUCACUUUAGCAAAAAAAAAAUUGUUUCAAAAUGAAUGUCACUUUGCAUUUCCAAUACAACUUUAAUUUUUUUCUCCCAAUUUUACCCUCAAUAAAUACUUCAACUUUUCUCUUAAACAAUUUUCAAUGCAACUUUAAGUUUGUCUUUUUCUUGUGCAGUUUAGUAAAAGUGUCAUGGCUAAUGAUUAUUUUAUUCCAUUACUUAAUUUGUGUGCAAUUAACUAAAACGACAUUCAUUUUAAAAAAGAUGGUGUAAAUUUCUUGCGGUCAACAAAGGCCGCAUUCACGACAUUAUUGAUCGUUGGGUCGAGAUUAGAUUUCUAACAAUUUUUUUUUUAUUUUUAAAAAACUACUGAAAUCUAAUAUUUAAUUUCUGCAAUGCUGGAUCUUGAUAUAAUGGUCAUCAAUGUUAGAAUGGUUUUUUAUGACCGCAAGGAAUCCAUAUUUUACAUAGUCACCGUAAUAUUGACUUCAACAACGUUAGAAUUUCUCAGCAAACAGCCAAGCACCACCACGUGACAAGAGAGAAGAACCAACACCAACAGUGAAAGAAUCAAUCCCAAAAGGCCAAAACACAAUCUUCUUUCUAUUUUACACUAAAAUAAUCAUUGCAUGGCUCUCGUGGAAGAGCAUAGCCUCCUCGUGGAAAUAAAAUAACGUUGGAUUGGAUGUGUUUUUUACAAGUAAUAAUAUAUUUGAAUGCGUGUCACACGUGGCAGUGAUUGUUUAUACAAAAAUAACUUUAUAUUAAUUAAAAAAAAUAACUUUAUAUUAAUUAAGACUUCGACUGCUACUAUAUCUUCAACUCUUGCAUACUCUUCCUAAUCAUAUCUUCAACUUUUACAUAUUCUUUCUACUCAUACAUACCAAACAAAUCCAAGUCUCCAUGGGUUCAAUUGCUAAUGAAGAUAGCAACAAACCUCUUCAUAUUGUAAUGCUCCCAUGGCUGGCUAUGGGACACAUAUACCCUUACUUUGAAGUAGCCAAAAUUCUAGCUUCAAAGGGUCACACUGUCACCUUCAUCAACUCCCCUAAAAACAUUGACCAAAUGCCAAAAACACCCAAAACCAUUGAACCAUUCAUUAAAUUGGUAAGAUUGCCUUUACCACACAUAGAGCAACUCCCACCAGGCGCAGAAAACACUAUGGACAUUCAACCAAACAUGAACCGUUUC